UACGGGGGGAGCAAGCGUUGUUCGGAUUUACUGGGCGUAAAGGGCGCGUAGGCGGCCACCGCAAGUCGACUGUGAAAUCUCCGGGCUUAACCCGGAAAGGUCAGCCGAUACUGCGGGGCUAGAGUGCAGAAGGGGCAACUGGAAUUCUCGGUGUAGCGGUGAAAUGCGUAGAUAUCGAGAGGAACACCUGUGGCGAAGGCGGGUCUCUGGGCAGUAACUGACGCUGAGGAGCGAAAGCGUGGGGAGCGAACAGG
rnacentral:rRNA from 1 species